rnacentral:rRNA from 2 species
GCGUCUUAAGCAUGCAAGUCAAACGGGAUGUAGCAAUACAUCUAGUGGCGAACGGGUGAGUAACGCGUGGAUGAUCUACCUACGAGAUGGGGAUAACUAUUAGAAAUAGUAGCUAAUACCGAAUAAAGUCAAUUAAUUUGUUAAUUGAUGAAAGGAAGCCUUUAAAGCUUCGCUUGUAGAUGAGUCUGCGUCUUAUUAGCUAGUUGGUAGGGUAAAUGCCUACCAAGGCGAUGAUAAGUAACCGGCCUGAGAGGGUGAACGGUCACACUGGAACUGAGAUACGGUCCAGACUCCUACGGGAGGCAGCAGCUAAGAAUCUUCCGCAAUGGGCGAAAGCCUGACGGAGCGACACUGCGUGAAUGAAGAAGGUCGAAAGAUUGUAAAAUUCUUUUAUAAAUGAGGAAUAAGCUUUGUAGGAAAUGACAAAGUGAUGACGUUAAUUUAUGAAUAAGCCCCGGCUAAUUACGUGCCAGCAGCCGCGGUAAUACGUAAGGGGCGAGCGUUGUUCGGGAUUAUUGGGCGUAAAGGGUGAGUAGGCGGAUAUAUAAGUCUAUGCAUAAAAUACCACAGCUCAACUGUGGAACUAUGUUGGAAACUAUAUAUCUAGAGUCUGAUAGAGGAAGUUAGAAUUUCUGGUGUAAGGGUGGAAUCUGUUGAUAUCAGAAAGAAUACCGGAGGCGAAGGCGAACUUCUGGGUCAAGACUGACGCUGAGUCACGAAAGCGUAGGGAGCAAACAGGAUUAGAUACCCUGGUAGUCUACGCUGUAAACGAUGCACACUUGGUGUUAACUAAAAGUUAGUACCGAAGCUAACGUG